GACGAACGCUGGCGGCGUGCUUAACACAUGCAAGUCGAACGGUAAGGCCCUUCGGGGUACACGAGUGGCGAACGGGUGAGUAACACGUGGGUGAUCUGCCCUGCACUUCGGGAUAAGCCUGGGAAACUGGGUCUAAUACCGGAUAGGACCACUGCCUGCAUGGGUGGUGGUGGAAAGCUUUUGCGGCGUGGGAUGGGCCCGCGGCCUAUCAGCUUGUUGGUGGGGUGAUGGCCUACCAAGGCGACGACGGGUAGCCGGCCUGAGAGGGUGACCGGCCACACUGGGACUGGGAUACGGCCCAGACUCCUACGGGAGGCAGCAGUGGGGAAUAUUGCACAAUGGGCGCAAGCCUGAUGCAGCGACGCCGCGUGAGGGAUGACGGCCUUCGGGUUGUAAACCUCUUUCAGCGCCGACGAAGCGCAAGUGACGGUAGGUGCAGAAGAAGGACCGGCCAACUACGUGCCAGCCGCCGCCGUAA
rnacentral:rRNA from 1 species